rnacentral:tRNA from 1 species
GCCGUUGUAGCUCAGCGGUAGAGCAGGGCUUUCGUAAAGCCAAGGUCGGGAGUUCAAAUCUCUUCAACGGCACCA